UACGGGGGGAGCAAGCGUUGUUCGGAUUUACUGGGCGUAAAGGCGCGUAGGCGGCCACCGCAAGUCGACUGUGAAAUCUCCGGGCUUAACCCGGAAAGGUCAGCCGAUACUGCGGGGCUAGAGUGCAGAAGGGGCAACUGGAAUUCUCGGUGUAGCGGUGAAAUGCGUAGAUAUCGAGAGGAACACCUGCGGCGAAGGCGGGUUGCUGGGCUGAUACUGACGCUGGAGGCGCGAAAGCUAGGGGAGCGAACGGG
rnacentral:rRNA from 1 species